rnacentral:rRNA from 1 species
AUUGAACGCUGGCGGCAUGCCUUACACAUGCAAGUCGAACGGUAACAGGUCUUCGGAUGCUGACGAGUGGCGAACGGGUGAGUAAUACAUCGGAACGUGCCUAGUAGUGGGGGAUAACUACUCGAAAGAGUGGCUAAUACCGCAUGAGAUCUACGGAUGAAAGCAGGGGAUCGCAAGACCUUGUGCUACUAGAGCGGCCGAUGGCAGAUUAGGUAGUUGGUGGGAUAAAAGCUUACCAAGCCGACGAUCUGUAGCUGGUCUGAGAGGACGAUCAGCCACACUGGGACUGAGACACGGCCCAGACUCCUAGGGGAGGCAGCAGUGGGGAAUUUUGGAUAAUGGGCGAAAGCCUGAUCCAGCAAUGCCGCGUGCAGGAUGAAGGCCUUCGGGUUGUAAACUGCUUUUGUACGGAACGAAAAGCCCCGGGUUAAUACCCUGGGGUCAUGACGGUACCGUAAGAAUAAGCACCGGCUAACUACGUGCCAGCAGCCGCCGUAA